AUGUGCGUGGACGCGGCCGAGAGCCUGGAGCUGGCCGGGCUGUGGAACAGCCUCCUCACCUUCAUCACCCUCUUCAUGCUCAGCGUCGGCUACGGUGCCGCCGUCACCCUCUGCAAGGUGCACUGGGCCUUGAUGGCGGGGGCGCAGGAGCCCCCCCCCCGGACCUCCCACAACUACACCAACCCGCAGAACCCCAGCGUCUUCCCGCUGAGCCUCUCGAGCUCUAAGUCCUCCGAAGCUGUGGUCGUGGGCUGCCUUGUCCGAGACUUCUUCCCCUUGCCCGCCACCGUGAGCUGGAACCCCAGCGAGGGCUCCAUCAGGAACUUCACCCCCAUGCUCACCAACGGCCUGUACACCAUGAGCAGCCUGCUGAGCCCUGCCCAGUGCAACGACAAAGUGGAGUGUCGGGUGGAGCAUAAUGGCAACGUCAAGGCAGUGAAUGUGCCCUGCAAAGAUACAUGCUGUAAUAAAACUUGUAACGAUGUAAGCGUGACCCUGCACAAGCCGGCCCUGGAGGACCUCCUGCUGGGCUUCCAGGCCAAUCUCACAUGCACGCUGACUGGUCUCAGGGAGCCUAAGGACGACGCCUCCUUCUCCUGGUCACCCUCUAUCGGGGAAGUCAGCAAGGGGGAAUUCAAGAAGAACUACUGUGGCUGCUACAGCGUGUCCAGCUACAUGCAGAUCCGCCCUGACGACUGGAACCGCGGCACGGAGUUCAGCUGCAGGGUCACGCACCCCGAGGCCCCGGCGCCGCUGACCGCCACCAUCUUCAAGUCCCAAGGAAACACCAUCCGGCCCCAGGUGCACCUGCUGCCGCCGCCGUCGGAAGAGCUGGGCCUGGAGGAGCUGGUGACGCUGACGUGCCUGGUGCGGGGCUACAGCCCCGAGGAGGUGCUGGUGCUGUGGCUCCACGGGAACCAGCAGCUGCCCCGCGAGGACUACAUGACCUGGAGCUCCCGGCCCGAGCCCCACAAUGCUGGCACCUUCGCCGUGACCAGCACGCUGCGCGUGGACGCCCAGACCUGGAAGAAGGGCGACAGCUUCUCCUGCAUGGUGGGCCACGAGUCCCUGCCCACGAACUUCACCCAGAAGACCAUCGACCGCCUGUCGGGUAAACCCACCCACGUCAACGUGUCUGUGAUCAUGGCGGAGGCGGACGGCGUCUGCUACUGAGCCGCCCUGCCCGCCCUUUCUCAAUAAACUCUGUGUUGCCCAAA